rnacentral:rRNA from 1 species
UGAAUACGAGAUGCUACGGCGUCGAAGCAGUCUAUGUCAUACUUCCAAGAAAAGCUUGCACUGUCAUAAACAAAUAAUGCCUGUACCAUAACCGACACAGGUGGGUAGGUAGAGUAUACUAAGGGGCGCGAGAUAACUCUCUCUAAGGAACUCGGCAAAAUGACUCCGUAACUUCGGGAGAAGGAGUGCCUUAUUUAUAAGGUUGCAAUAACAAGAUCCAAGCAACUGUUUACCAAAAACACAGGUCUCCGCUAAGUCGUAAGACGAUGUAUGGGGGCUGACGCCUGCCCAGUGCCAGAAGGUUAAAGAAGUUGGUUAGCAUCCGCGAAGCUGAUAACUGAAGCCCUGGUGAACGGCGGCCGUAACUAUAACGGUCCUAAGGUAGCGAAAUUCCUUGUCGGGUAAGUUCCGACCCGCACGAGAGGCGUAAUGAUUUGGAUACUGUCUCGGAGAGGGGCUCGGUGAAAUAGACUUGUCUGUGAAGAUGCGGACUACCUGCACCAGGACAGAAAGACCCUAUGAAGCUUUACUGUAACCUGAAAUUGAAAUUGGACUUUACUUGCGCAGUAUAGGUGGGAGGCGUUGAGAAUAUUCUUGCGGGAUUAUUGGAGCCAUCAGUGAGAUACCACUCUUGUAAUGUUAGAUUUCUAACUUUGUAUCAUUAUCUGGUCAAAGAACAGUUUCAGGCGGGCAGUUUGACUGGGGCGGCCGCCUCCUAAACGGUAACGGAGGCGCACAAAGGUUUCCUCUGAACGGGUAGAAAUCGUAUCUAGAGUGUAAAGGCAUAAGGAAGCUUGACUGUGAGACCUACAAGUCGAGCAGGGACGAAAGUCGGUCUUAGUGAUCUGACGGUGCUGAGUGGAAAGGCCGUCACUCAACGGAUAAAAGUUACUCUAGGAUAACAGGCUGAUCUCCCCCAAGAGUUCACAUCGACGGGGAGGUUUGGCACCUCGAUGUCGGCUCAUCGCAUCCUGGGGCGGUAGUACGUCCCAAGGGUUGGGCUGUUCGCCCAUGAAAGCGGUACGCGAGCUGGGUUCAGAACGUCGUGAGACAGUUCGGUCCAUAUCCGGUGUAGGCGUUAGAAUAUUGAGAGGAGCCUUCUUUAGUACGAGAGGACCGAGAAGGACAUACCUCUGGUGUACCAGUUAUCGUGCCAACGGUAAACGCUGGGUAGCUAUGUGUGGAGUGGAUAACCGCUGAAAGCAUCUAAGUGGGAAGCCCACCUCAAGAUAAGUAUUCUC